CCUAACACAUGCAAGUCGAACGGCAGCACAGAAGAGCUUGCUCUUUGGGUGGCGAGUGGCGGACGGGUGAGUAAUGUCUGGGAAACUGCCCGAUGGAGGGGGAUAACUACUGGAAACGGUAGCUAAUACCGCAUAACGUCGCGAGACCAAAGUGGGGGACCUUCGGGCCUCACACCAUCGGAUGUGCCCAGAUGGGAUUAGCUAGUAGGUGGGGUAAUGGCUCACCUAGGCGACGAUCCCUAGCUGGUCUGAGAGGAUGACCAGCCACACUGGAACUGAGACACGGUCCAGACUCCUACGGGAGGCAGCAGUGGGGAAUAUUGCACAAUGGGCGCAAGCCUGAUGCAGCCAUGCCGCGUGUAUGAAGAAGGCCUUCGGGUUGUAAAGUACUUUCAGCGGGGAGGAAGGCGGUGAGGUUAAUAACCUUGCCGAUUGACGUUACCCGCAGAAGAAGCACCGGCUAACUCCGUGCCAGCAGCCGCGGUAAUACGGAGGGUGCAAGCGUUAAUCGGAAUUACUGGGCGUAAAGCGCACGCAGGCGGUCUGUUAAGUCAGAUGUGAAAUCCCCGGGCUUAACCUGGGAACUGCAUUUGAAACUGGCAGGCUUGAGUCUCGUAGAGGGGGGUAGAAUUCCAGGUGUAGCGGUGAAAUGCGUAGAGAUCUGGAGGAAUACCGGUGGCGAAGGCGGCCCCCUGGACGAAGACUGACGCUCAGGUGCGAAAGCGUGGGGAGCAAACAGGAUUAGA
rnacentral:rRNA from 1 species